AGUGAACGCUGGCGGUAGGCCUAACACAUGCCAGUCGAACGGCAGCACAGUAAGAGCUUGCUCUUACGGGUGGCGAGUGGCGGACGGGUGAGGAAUACAUCGGAAUCUACUUUUUCGUGGGGGAUAACGUAGGGAAACUUACGCUAAUACCGCAUACGACCUACGGGUGAAAGCAGGGGAUCUUCGGACCUUGCGCGAUUGAAUGAGCCGAUGUCGGAUUAGCUAGUUGGCGGGGUAAAGGCCCACCAAGGCGACGAUCCGUAGCUGGUCUGAGAGGAUGAUCAGCCACACUAGAAUAGAGACACGGUCCAGUCUCCUACGGUAAGCAGCAGUGGGGAAUAUUGGACAAUGGGCGCAAGCCUGAUCCAGCCAUACCGCGUGGGUGAAGAAGGCCUUCGGGUUGUAAAGCCCUUUUGUUGGGAAAGAAAAGCAGCAGGUUAAUACCCCGCUGUUCUGACGGUACCCAAAGAAUAAGCACCGGCUAACUUCGUG
rnacentral:rRNA from 1 species